rnacentral:rRNA from 1 species
UACGUAGGGGGCGAGCGUUAUCCGGAAUCACUGGGCGUAAAGGGUGCGUAGGCGGUCAGUAAAGUCUGGGGUGAAAGGCUACGGCUUAACCGUAGUAAGCCUUGGAAACUUACUGACUUGAGUGCAGGAGAGGAGAGCGGAAUUCCUAGUGUAGCGGUGAAAUGCGUAGAUAUUAGGAGGAACACCAGUGGCGAAGGCGGCUCUCUGGACUGUAACUGACGCUGAGGCACGAAAGCGUGGGUAGCGAACAGG